rnacentral:rRNA from 1 species
CACGCACCGCUCGUGAGCAACCUUAUCCCCUCCGAUUUCUUUCUCAUUCUCUCGUUCUCUCCUUUCUCUUCCAGAGUAUGCCUGGGCAGGCCCUUUCCUUCCCCUGCUCCAGAUCAGCGAGCGGCCAUGGCCGGCUCCUACCCCCGCCAAGGCAAAUCGCGGGGAAGGGCCACCACGCGCCAUGUCCUUCCACCCACUUGAGAGGAAACCAUGGCAGGGUGCUCCAUGCUCGCACAGAUCUCCCGAGGAAGGAGGAGACGAUGCAGCGGGGGAGCUGUAGGUGUCGUGCACCGACGGUGCUGCGACAGGGGAAGGGUACACACGCCGGUGAUGGCGUACCCCCGCGCGCAACUGGCGAGUGGUGGAGAUGGUCCCCGGCUACGGUGGAGUUGCAAGCGGCAAGGGGCAAAGCUGCAACCGGCAAGCGGCGGAGCUGGAACCGGCCUGAGAAGGAGCUGGAAACAUUGAUUUUUUUUGCUGGAAGGUACGGCGUGGGACUGAGCUUCAACGCCCAUUUUUUUGCUGGAAGCAGGGAUUUAUUUUGUUGGAAGCAGCAUUUUCUUUUGCUGGAACACUUCUUUCAAAACUGCGAACAACUUUUUUUUCUGGAAGCAGUGAUUUUUUGUUUUGUUUGAAGCAACAAUUUGUUUUGCUCGAACUAGGCUCUUCAGAGCUACGAUGAUGGAACAACACACUUUUUUGCUGGAAGCGGUGUUUCUUUUUGCUGGAAGCGUCACUUUGGAUUGCUACUGUCGAUGCAUCACGACGAGCGGCAGAGCUUCAUAUCUGCAAUGGGGACAAGAGAAAAGCUACGACAGUUGAGGGAAAAAGCUACAACCAGUGUUUUUUUGCUGUCACCGAUGUGUGGUUUUCUUUCACUGGGACGUACGACCUGUGGUGGCGGACGGCCAGCGCCGGCAGCACGGUGAUGCCUCGAGGUUGCAACCAUUGUUGUUUUUGCUACUACGGUGUUCACGAAUUGAUACAUCCGUUGUCUGUUUUUGCUACUACCAUCAAUGCACAGUCAACAGAUUUUUUUCUUACGUUUGACCGCGACGAAGUGUGGGGGAGAGAUUCGACGGCGAGCGUCGGGGGCCAGUGCAGCGACCCGCCGCGACGGGCGAGCGCGCGAGGGUGGGUGCUUCGAGGUCGGUUGUGUGCUCGUUCAUGAAGAGUCCGAGUAGGAAGAACGAGCAGGGGGGAGAAACAAGAUCGUGCGGCUACAAAGCACUUUUAUCGUGCGGUCCUGGUGUGACCGGCCCAAAGUUGCGCCGGCGCGCCGGCGCCUAUUAGCUCCCUUUAGUAUAUUAGAGAUGGGUCUCCUUCCUGCAAUUUAAUUAAUUGCUCCGUUGAAAGUGAAUUUCCACCUCAGUCUUUGCAUGCAUUGAGCUAGCUCACCAGAGUGACGGUUUUCGGUCGGCCAUCGUCGACGAAACUGUCGAAACAAUUAUUGCCGCAGUUGCAAAGCUG